rnacentral:lncRNA from 1 species
AUUCAGCCUGGAUGUGAGGGUGGUGAGCCCCUGGUGCAGGUGAUACCAUGGAUGUCCCUGGCAGCGCCCAGGCCAGGCUGGGCAGGGUUUGGAGCACCUGGGGCACUGGGGCUGUCCCUGCCCUGCCAUUUCCCAGUGCUCCGGGCAGGAAUUGGUUCCAGGGCAGGGCUGGCUGUGCCCAGAGCUCUGCCCGUGUGCUGUGGGUGGCACUGAGGGCUGGCCCUGUCCCCAGAUCACGGAGGCACAGCUGGGCUGGGCUGGGCUGGGGUCUCAGAGAGCACCCGGCCCCAGCCCGCUGUCCCCAGGCCACUGUCACCACUAGAUGCUGCUCUUGGCCAGGGCUGUGCUCCAGCCCCUCCCUCCAUGGCAAUCAUCCAUCCUGAGCCAGUUUGUGCUCAUCCCUCCCCUGCCGGGGGCAGAUCUGUGCUGUGCCCGUCCCUCUGCUCCCCAGACCCCUCCUCACCCAUCCCUGCCUGGGCAGGGGUCCCCAGGAUGAGCCUGGGGUGGCCCCAGCCUGGACCAGGGCAGGGUUCAGGGGCUGGCCGGGGUGACAGAGCCCUGGUUCCUCCUCAGGACGAGACUCUGGCUACAGCUCCGGUGUGCCGGGCUCCCACGGCGAGGAGAACCUGUACGAGGAGCCCCCCGAGCCCGCGGCCAUCUACGAGGAGCCCCCCCAGGAGCCAGCUGCCAAUGCCAAGUACGACUACAGGGUGGAGUACCAGGAGCCCCCAGACCUGGCGGGGAAGGGGCUCUGUGCCCGGGCCCUGUAUGACUACCAGGCUGCUGACGACACCGAGAUCUCCUUCGACCCCGAGAACAUCAUCACCAACAUCGAGAUGAUCGACGAGGGCUGGUGGCGCGGCUUCGGCCCCGACGGCCACUUUGGGAUGUUCCCCGCCAACUACGUGGAGCUGAUUGAGUAGGGGCUGCUGGGGGGCUCCAGACCCCCGGGGCUGCUCCGGACCCCGAGCCCACCCAGCUCCAGCCUGGCUCUUCCAGCGACACGUGGCUUUAUUUCUUUAUUUCUUUAUUUCUCUCUUUCUCAGUGAAGUGCCAUUCCCCAGUCCCUCGGCAGUGGAGCUGCCCCCCAUCCCUCAGGGUGGGAAGGAAGGUCCCAUCCCACCCUGAGCCCUCCUCCCUGGGCUCUGGGGUGUGACAAAUCCCUCACGGGAAUUUUCAGGGAACAAAUUCAAGAAUUACCUCCCCCCUGUGCUCCCUCCCUGUAACCUUGGGCCUGCCACAGCCACACUGGACGUUCCCAAGCUCAUUUCGUAGGGGAAGCUCAUCAGAGCCAUUCUGGGGUCGUGCAGGGUCUGACACGAGCAGGAGAGUGACUCCUGGCCCUGCAGUGCCCUGAGCUCACACGUGCGCUCACCCUGUGUUCUCCUCCCUGCUCUCCCCCCUUCCCUCACCCCAAACCUGCUCUGGGGUUUGAACUGGGAGUGAAAUCCUCCCCUGCGGCCUGGCCAGGCGCGUGGGACCCCUCCCCACCCCAAACUCACUGUGAACAAGGAAAAGCCCAGCCCUCCCUUAGGAGUUCCCUGCCCUGCUGUCACUUUAGGAACAAAAGGAGAGAAAGGCUUGGGGGGUCCCAGCUCAGCCCCCCCUCUGCAGGGCUGGGGGCCGUGGGGGCUUCUCUGAGUCCUGCCUGAGCUCAUUCUCCUCCCUGUGCCCCGGGCCCUCCCCAGCAUCAAUAAAAGGGCUUUUCUUUGGUGAUGGCUGCA